rnacentral:misc_RNA from 1 species
AACACUCACUUACCACUUUUGAAGUUCUUCAAAACCUCACCAAAACUUCUUAAAAUUGCUAUCAAACUCUUCCUUGUGAUGUAGGGAUAAACUUUAAUGAAGCAACCUUGGUGUUUGGAGGUGGAAUGGAGGAGAUGAUGAAGCUUGAAUUACAUGCGACAAUGGAGGUUUUGGGAGCUCUUCACUACGGAAAUGGUGAUUUUUAAGGUUGAAGAUGAAGUUUUAGUGGAUUAAUCUGCCCACUUAAUGCAUAUUAUAAUCCUUAGUGGUCCA